GGUUCGGUGGUGUAGUUGGUUAUCACGUCAGUCUAACAUUCGUUAGCACACUGAAGGUCCCGAGUUCAAACCUCGGCUGAAUCA
rnacentral:tRNA from 1 species